rnacentral:piRNA from 1 species
GUAUGGAAGUCUAGGGCUGGACAUUUGUA